rnacentral:tRNA from 1 species
GAUCCAUUAGCUCAGCUGGCAGAGCACUUGACUCUUAAUCAAGGGGUCCUGGGUUCGAUCCCCAGAUGGAUCACCA